rnacentral:rRNA from 1 species
AGUGAACGCUGGCGGUAGGCCUAACACAUGCAAGUCGAACGGCAGCACAGUAAGAGCUUGCUCUUACGGGUGGCGAGUGGCGGGCGGGUGAGGAAUACAUCGGAAUCUACUUUUUCGUGGGGGAUAACGUAGGGAAACUUACGCUAAUACCGCAUACGACCUACGGGUGAAAGCAGGGGAUCUUCGGACCUUGCGCGAUUGAAUGAGCCGAUGUCGGAUUAGCUAGUUGGCGGGGUAAAGGCCCACCAAGGCGACGAUCCGUAGCUGGUCUGAGAGGAGGAUCGGCCACACUGGAACUGAGACACGGUCCAGACUCCUACGGGAGGCAGCAGUGGGGAAUAUUGGACAAUGGGCGCAAGCCUGAUCCAGCCAUACCGCGUGGGUGAAGAAGGCCUUCGGGUUGUAAAGCCCUUUUGUUGGGAAAGAAAAGCAGCAGGUUAAUACCCCGCUGUUCUGACGGUACCCAAAGAAUAAGCACCGGCUAACUUCGUG